rnacentral:rRNA from 1 species
ACAACGGAGAGUUUGAUCCUGGCUCAGGAUGAACGCUGGCGGCGUGCUUAACACAUGCAAGUCGAACGAACCUUCGGGUUAGUGGCGGACGGGUGAGUAACGCGUGAGAAUCUGC